GACGAACGCUGGCGGCGUGCUUAACACAUGCAAGUCGAACGGAAAGGCCCUGCUUUUGUGGGGUGCUCGAGUGGCGAACAGGUGAGUAACACGUGAGCAACCUGCCCUUGACUUUGGGAUAACUUCAGGAAACUGGGGCUAAUACCGGAUAGGAGCUCCUGCUGCAUGGUGGGGGUUGGAAAGUUUCGGCGGUUGGGGAUGGACUCGCGGCUUAUCAGCUUGUUGGUGGGGUAGUGGCUUACCAAGGCUUUGACGGGUAGCCGGCCUGAGAGGGUGACCGGCCACAUUGGGACUGAGAUACGGCCCAGACUCCUACGGGAGGCAGCAGUGGGGAAUAUUGCACAAUGGGCGGAAGCCUGAUGCAGCAACGCCGCGUGCGGGAUGACGGCCUUCGGGUUGUAAACCGCUUUCGCCUGUGACGAAGCGUGAGUGACGGUAAUGGGUAAAGAAGCACCGGCUAACUACGUGCCAGCAGCCGCGGUGAUACGUAGGGUGCGAGCGUUGUCCGGAUUUAUUGGGCGUAAAGGGCUCGUAGGUGGUUGAUCGCGUCGGAAGUGUAAUCUUGGGGCUUAACCCUGAGCGUGCUUUCGAUACGGGUUGACUUGAGGAAGGUAGGGGAGAAUGGAAUUCCUGGUGGAGCGGUGGAAUGCGCAGAUAUCAGGAGGAACACCAGUGGCGAAGGCGGUUCUCUGGGCCUUUCCUGACGCUGAGGAGCGAAAGCGUGGGGAGCGAACAGGCUUAGAUACCCUGGUAGUCCACGCUGUAAACGGUGGGUACUAGGUGUGGGGUCCAUUCCACGGGUUCCGUGCCGUAGCUAACGCUUUAAGUACCCCGCCUGGGGAGUACGGCCGCAAGGCUAAAACUCAAAGGAAUUGACGGGGCCCCGCACAAGCGGCGGAGCAUGCGGAUUAAUUCGAUGCAACGCGUAGAACCUUACCUGGGUUUGACAUGGAUCGGGAGCGCUCAGAGAUGGGUGUGCCUCUUUUGGGGUCGGUUCACAGGUGGUGCAUGGCUGUCGUCAGCUCGUGUCGUGAGAUGUUGGGUUAAGUCCCGCAACGAGCGCAACCCUUGUUCACUGUUGCCAGCACGUUAUGGUGGGGACUCAGUGGAGACCGCCGGGGUCAACUCGGAGGAAGGUGGGGAUGACGUCAAGUCAUCAUGCCCCUUAUGUCCAGGGCUUCACGCAUGCUACAAUGGCUGGUACAGAGAGUGGCGAGCCUGUGAGGGUGAGCGAAUCUCGGAAAGCCGGUCUCAGUUCGGAUUGGGGUCUGCAACUCGACCUCAUGAAGUCGGAGUCGCUAGUAAUCGCAGAUCAGCAACGCUGCGGUGAAUACGUUCCCGGGGCU
rnacentral:rRNA from 1 species